GGAUUGUAGCUCAGUGGUAGAGCACUUGCCUAGCACGUGUGAGGCACUGGGUUCGAUUCUCAGCACCA
rnacentral:tRNA from 1 species